CAUUUUUGGAACCCAGUCAUCACGCUGUGAGGAAGCCAAGUAGAGACUUGGAGAGACAACGUCUGUGUUCUGGUUGACGGCCUGUUAUGGACUGAGUGUUUGUGUCUCCCCUGCCACCCAGUCUGGAUGCCGAAGCCCUAAUCCCCAGUGUGAUGAUAUUUGAAGAUAAGCUCAGUUUGCACACUGAGAACCCGUUCCGCCAUCCCUGUGAAGAGGUUCUGCCGUCUGGUCUUGAGUCUUUGCCUGAGAAGAGCGGUGCUGAAGAAUUCCUCACAGGCAACUUCACGCGGGGCUCUGCUGACCUGUCACUGCCUGCAGUUGGCCUGUAGGGAGCAUGCGUUUGUUUCGGUAUCGUAUUUGGGACUAUGUGACAGUUCACCUGUUUUAUGAUCACAAUAAUAAACUAGGAGGUCCAGAGCACAUUUUCCACAGGCUUUCUGUGAACCAGUUUCUGUGUUGGAGCUUUUCUUGCUCCUCACUACUCCACACCCUAAAUUUAAAAAAAAAGAAAAGAAAAAAUUAGCACAAGCUUGCCAUUAUAUUCAGUCAAAUAUUCCACAUUUCCAAUAUUUUAUUUCUCAUUAGAACACUGUGUCUUCAAGUCUCAUUUUUAUGAUUUCUAAACAUGCUGGAGUAUAUGUCUCAUAAGGCUUUUUGCACUCUAAUGUAAUAAAGCGUAUAGAAUCUCUUUGUGUAUAUGCAAACAAAAGUGAAUCCCUUUAAGUCUUUAUACAAUUCUCUUGAUUUUAUUUUUCUUAUAAUUGUAUUAGCCUUGUAUGUGCUAUCCAAUACUUUAUUUAUUUUCUGUUAUGUUGAAUAUUAUUUACCUAAAGUAGCAAUGAUAUUUUACACAAUUACUAAACCAUGUAAUGCUGGGGAGAAAUAGAUUUGGAACAAAGUG